rnacentral:tRNA from 1 species
GCGGGAAUAGCUCAGUGGUAGAGCACCUCCUCCAAGGAGGGGGUCGCGGGUUCGAAUCCCGUUUCCCGCU